rnacentral:rRNA from 1 species
GGUUAACCGAAUAGGGAAGCCGUAGAGAAAUCGAGUCCGAAUAGGGCGUUUUUAGUCGCUGGGUGUAGACCCGAAACCAAGUGAUCUAUCCAUGGCCAGGAUGAAGGUGCCGUAACAGGUACUGGAGGUCCGAACCGACUAGUGUUGCAAAACUAGCGGAUGAGCUGUGGAUAGGGGUGAAAGGCUAAACAAACUUGGAAAUAGCUGGUUCUCUCCGAAAACUAUUUAGGUAGUGCCUCAAGUAUUACCGUCGGGGGUAGAGCACUGUUUAGGCUAGGGGGUCAUGGCGACUUACCAAACCUAUGCAAACUCCGAAUACCGAUGAGUACAGCUUGGGAGACAGAGCACCGGGUGCUAACGUCCGGACUCAAGAGGGAAACAACCCAGACCGCCAGCUAAGGUCCCUAAAAUUGGCUAAGUGGGAAACGAAGUGGGAAGGCUAAAACAGUCAGGAUGUUGGCUUAGAAGCAGCCAUCAUUUAAAGAAAGCGUAAUAGCUCACUGAUCGAGUCGUCCUGCGCGGAAGAUGUAACGGGGCUAAGCCAGUUACCGAAGCUGCGGAUGCACAGUUUACUGUGCGUGGUAGGAGAGCGUUCUGUAAGCCUGUGAAGGUGCGUUGUAAAGCGUGCUGGAGGUAUCAGAAGUGCGAAUGCUGACAUGAGUAGCGUUAAAGCGGGUGAAAAGCCCGCUCGCCGUAAGCGCAAGGUUUCCUACGCAACGUUCAUCGGCGUAGGGUGAGUCGGCCCCUAAGGCGAGGCAGAGAUGCGUAGCUGAUGGGAAACAGGUCAAUAUUCCUGUACCGAUUGCAAGUGCGAUGUGGGGACGAAUCUUAAUAGGUGAUCCGGGUGUUGGAUGUCCCGGUUUAGACAGAAGUAGGCGUGUGUCAGGCAAAUCCGGCACACAUAUACCGAGGCUGUCGAUCGAGCGAGCUUGCUUGCGAAGUCACUGAACGGGGUUCCAGGAAAAGCCACUAAGCUUCAGCUUGCAACGACCGUACCGCAAACCGACACUGGUGCGCGAGAUGAGUAUUCUAAGGCGCUUGAGAGAACUCUGGAGAAGGAACUCGGCAAAUUGACACCGUAACUUCGGGAGAAGGUGUGCCCUUGUAGUGUGAUGAGAACAUCUGAGCAUGAAAGGGUUGCAAUAAAUAGGUGGCUGCGACUGUUUAUCAAAAACACAGCACUCUGCAAACACGAAAGUGGACGUAUAGGGUGUGACGCCUGCCCGGUGCUGGAAGAUUAAUUGAUGGGGUGCAAGCUCUUGAUCGAAGUCCCAGUAAACGGCGGCCGUAACUAUAACGGUCCUAAGGUAGCGAAAUUCCUUGUCGGGUAAGUUCCGACCUGCACGAAUGGCGUAACGAUGGCCACACUGUCUCCUCCAGAGACUCAGCGAAGUUGAAAUGUUUGUGAUGAUGCAAUCUCCCCGCGGAAAGACGGAAAGACCCCAUGAACCUUUACUGUAGCUUUGUAUUGGACUUUGAACAGAUCUGUGUAGGAUAGGUGGGAGGCUUUGAAGUGAGGACGCUAGUUCUCAUGGAGCCAACGUUGAAAUACCACCCUGGUGUGUUUGAGGUUCUAACCUAGGUCCAUUAUCUGGAUCGGGGACAGUGCAUGGUAGGCAGUUUGACUGGGGCGGUCUCCUCCCAAAGCGUAACGGAGGAGUUCGAAGGUACGCUAGUUACGGUCGGACAUCGUGACGAUAGUGCAAUGGCAUAAGCGUGCUUAACUGCGAGACUGACAAGUCGAGCAGAUGCGAAAGCAGGACAUAGUGAUCCGGUGGUUCUGUAUGGAAGGGCCAUCGCUCAACGGAUAAAAGGUACUCUGGGGAUAACAGGCUGAUACCGCCCAAGAGUUCAUAUCGACGGCGGUGUUUGGCACCUCGAUGUCGGCUCAUCUCAUCCUGGGGCUGUAGCCGGUCCCAAGGGUAUGGCUGUUCGCCAUUUAAAGAGGUACGUGAGCUGGGUUUAAAACGUCGUGAGACAGUUUGGUCCCUAUCUUCCGUGGGCGCUGCAAGAUUGAGGAAGCCUGCUCCUAGUACGAGAGGACCGGAGUGGACGCACCUCUGGUGCAUCGGUUGUCACGCCAGUGGCAUGGCCGAGUAGCUAAGUGCGGAAGAGAUAACCGCUGAAAGCAUCUAAGCGGGAAACUCGUUCCAAGAUGAGUCUUGCCGGGGCCUCGAGCCCCCUGAAGAGUCGUCCGAGACCAGGACGUUGA